GAGGAAUAUUGCACAAUGGGCGCAAGCCUGAUGCAGCGACGCCGCGUGUGGGAUGAAGGGGCUACGCCUCGUAAACCACUGUAGCCCGGGACGAAAAACGCCUUAGAGGCGUUAGACGGUACCGGGAAAGUAAGGGUCGGCUAACUACGUGCCAGCAGCCGCGGUAAUACGUAGGCAGCAAGCGUUGUUCGGAGUUACUGGGCGUAAAGAGUGCGUAGGCGGUUUUCUAAGUUCGGUGUGAAAUCUCCCGGCUUAACUGGGAGGGUGCGCCGAAGUCUGGGAAGCUGGAGUGUGGGAAAGGCCGGCGGAAUUCCUGGUGUAGCGGUGAAAUGCGUAGAUAUCAGGAGGAACACCGGCGGUGUAGACGGCUUGCUAGACCAUAACUGACGCUGAGGCACGAAAGCGUGGGUAGCAAACA
rnacentral:rRNA from 1 species